rnacentral:rRNA from 1 species
AGAGUUUGAUCAUGGCUCAGAACGAACGCUGGCGGCAGGCUUAACACAUGCAAGUCGAGCGCAUGUCUUCGGACAUGAGCGGCAGACGGGUGAGUAACGCGUGGGAACGUACCCUUCAGUUCGGAAUAACCCAGGGAAACUUGGGCUAAUACCGGAUACGUCCGUAAGGAGAAAGGUUUACUGCUGAAGGAUCGGCCCGCGUCGGAUUAGCUAGUUGGUGAGGUAACGGCCCACCAAGGCAACGAUCCGUAGCUGGUCUGAGAGGAUGAUCAGCCACACUGGGACUGAGACACGGCCCAGACUCCUACGGGAGGCAGCAGUGGGGAAUAUUGGACAAUGGGCGCAAGCCUGAUCCAGCCAUGCCGCGUGAGUGAAGAAGGCCCUAGGGUUGUAAAGCUCUUUCAGCGGGGACGAUAAUGACGGUACCCGCAGAAGAAGCCCCGGCUAACUUCGUGCCAGCAGCCGCGGUAAUACGAAGGGGGCUAGCGUUGUUCGGAAUUACUGGGCGUAAAGCGCGCGUAGGCGGAUAUUUAAGUCAGGGGUGAAAUCCCAGGGCUCAACCCUGGAACUGCCUUUGAUACUGGAUGUCUGGAGUUCGGGAGAGGUGAGUGGAAUUCCGAGUGUAGAGGUGAAAUUCGUAGAUAUUCGGAGGAACACCAGAAGCGAAGGCGGCUCACUGGCCCGAUACUGACGCUGAGGCGCGAAAGCGUGGGGAGCAAACAGGAUUAGAUACCCUAGUAGUCC